rnacentral:rRNA from 1 species
AACGCGAAGAACCUUACCUGGGCUUGAACCGCACAGGACCAUCUUUGGAAACAGAGACUUCCCGCAAGGGACCUGUGUAGAGGUGCUGCAUGGCUGUCGUCAGCUCGUGCCGUGAGAUGUUGGGUUAAGUCCCGCAACGAGCGCAACCCCUACCCCUAGUUGCCACCGGGUAAUGCCGAGCACUCUAUGGGGACUGCACGGGUCAACCGUGAGGAAGGUGGGGAUGAUGUCAAGUCAUCAUGGCCCUUAUGCCCAGGGCUACAAGCGUGCUACAAUGGGCUACACAAAGGGUUGCAAACUCGCGAGAGCCAGCUAAUCCCAAAAAGUAGUCCUCAGUUCGGAUCGGAGUCUGCAACUCGACUCCGUGAAGUUGGAAUCGCUAGUAAUCGCGGAUCAGCCACGCCGCGGUGAAUACGUUCCCGGGCCUUGUACACACCGGUACUA